CUGCAACUGUCAUCCCCUCCCUAUUGUCCUCAAAUCUUGCGGCGCUCUCUUCGCCACCGCAGUCCACGGCCACGCUCUCUGCCACAACCUUACCGUCAUAAUAUGUGUCACAUCUGAGCCGGUGUUGGCAGAGCUGUGAGCGAGGUAAGAGAGGAGCACGACAUCGAUGUUGGGGCAGUGGGGGAGGAGGAGAGAAAGAAAGAAACGGUGAGAAGAAAGACAAAUAGGAGAAAAAAACAAACGGUGAAAAAAAAAAGAGAGAAAAAGAGUAACAGGGAUAUUUUGAUCAAUUUACUAAAAAUUUAGACUGAAUUUGCAAAUUUCAAAAAUAUGGUCCGUUUUUCAAAAAAAAAAAUUCAAAACCGAUAAAAUUUUCAUGCAAAAAGUUUUAUAA
rnacentral:lncRNA from 1 species